CAGAUUCUGAAGGCGUACUUGGUCUAGUGGAUCCAUAUGCCACUUUAACUGAUGAUGAAGAAAGCUGCCUUCUCUGUGGUGUCUGAGAGGGAGCCUGAGAGGCCUACAGAGAGCAUGGCUGGGCAGCAGGAAGAGGGUCCCUCAACCUCCACAGCACAGAUUGACACAGUGAGAUACGUAUUCAGUAAAUUCCAGAGGUUAAUUCAGUGGAAUUCAUGUGCAACUGUAUAAUGUCAUCCUUAUGUGUUCCCAGCUACCACUAAAAGAAAUCUACAAAGUGCAUUUAUUAAAAUCAGUACAAAAACAGAAAAAGAAAUGGUGCUGCUGGACCGCCAGAUAACUAAAGCGGAUCUGGAAAUUGAAUUAUUAAAACACAAGUUAGAGGUGGGUGCAUGGUC